UACGUAGGGCCCGAGCGUUGUCCGGAAUCAUUGGGCGUAAAGAGCGUGUAGGCGGUCCGGUAAGUCCGCUGUGAAAGUCGGGGGCUCAACCCUCGAAUGCCGGUGGAUACUGUCGGGCUUGAGUACGGAAGAGGCGAGUGGAAUUCCUGGUGUAGCGGUGAAAUGCGCAGAUAUCAGGAGGAACACCAAUUGCGAAGGGAGCUCGCUGGGAGGUUACUGAGGCUGAGACGCGAAAGCGUGGGGAGAGAACAGG
rnacentral:rRNA from 1 species